rnacentral:rRNA from 1 species
CGCCAGCUAAGGUCCCAAAGUCAUGGUUAAGUGGGAAACGAUGUGGGAAGGCCCAGACAGCCAGGAUGUUGGCUUAGAAGCAGCCAUCAUUUAAAGAAAGCGUAAUAGCUCACUGGUCGAGUCGGCCUGCGCGGAAGAUGUAACGGGGCUAAACCAUGCACCGAAGCUGCGGCAGCGACACUGUGUGUUGUUGGGUAGGGGAGCGUUCUGUAAGCCUGUGAAGGUGUGUCGUGAGGCAUGCUGGAGGUAUCAGAAGUGCGAAUGCUGACAUAAGUAACGAUAAAGCGGGUGAAAAGCCCGCUCGCCGGAAGACCAAGGGUUCCUGUCCAACGUUAAUCGGGGCAGGGUGAGUCGACCCCUAAGGCGAGGCCGAAAGGCGUAGUCGAUGGGAAACGGGUUAAUAUUCCCGUACUUGGUGUUACUGCGAAGGGGGGACGGAGAAGGCUAUGUUGGCCGGGCGACGGUUGUCCCGGUUUAAGCGUGUAGGUGUGUGUUCCAGGUAAAUCCGGUUCACUUUAACACUGAGGCGUGACGACGAGGCACUACGGUGCUGAAGCAACAAAUGCCCUGCUUCCAGGAAAAGCCUCUAAGCAUCAGGUAACAUCAAAUCGUACCCCAAACCGACACAGGUGGUCAGGUAGAGAAUACCAAGGCGCUUGAGAGAACUCGGGUGAAGGAACUAGGCAAAAUGGUGCCGUAACUUCGGGAGAAGGCACGCUGACACGUAGGUGAAGUGAUUUACUCAUGGAGCUGAAGUCAGUCGAAGAUACCAGCUGGCUGCAACUGUUUAUUAAAAACACAGCACUGUGCAAACACGAAAGUGGACGUAUACGGUGUGACGCCUGCCCGGUGCCGGAAGGUUAAUUGAUGGGGUCAGCGCAAGCGAAGCUCCUGAUCGAAGCCCCGGUAAACGGCGGCCGUAACUAUAACGGUCCUAAGGUAGCGAAAUUCCUUGUCGGGUAAGUUCCGACCUGCACGAAUGGCGUAAUGAUGGCCAGGCUGUCUCCACCCGAGACUCAGUGAAAUUGAACUCGCUGUGAAGAUGCAGUGUACCCGCGGCAAGACGGAAAGACCCCGUGAACCUUUACUAUAGCUUGACACUGAACAUUGAGCCUUGAUGUGUAGGAUAGGUGGGAGGCUUUGAAGUGUGGACGCCAGUCUGCAUGGAGCCGACCUUGAAAUACCACCCUUUAAUGUUUGAUGUUCUAACGUGGACCCGUUACCCGGGUUGCGGACAGUGUCUGGUGGGUAGUUUGACUGGGGCGGUCUCCUCCUAAAGAGUAACGGAGGAGCACGAAGGUUGGCUAAUCCUGGUCGGACAUCAGGAGGUUAGUGCAAUGGCAUAAGCCAGCUUGACUGCGAGCGUGACGGCGCGAGCAGGUGCGAAAGCAGGUCAUAGUGAUCCGGUGGUUCUGAAUGGAAGGGCCAUCGCUCAACGGAUAAAAGGUACUCCGGGGAUAACAGGCUGAUACCGCCCAAGAGUUCAUAUCGACGGCGGUGUUUGGCACCUCGAUGUCGGCUCAUCACAUCCUGGGGCUGAAGUAGGUCCCAAGGGUAUGGCUGUUCGCCAUUUAAAGUGGUACGCGAGCUGGGUUUAGAACGUCGUGAGACAGUUCGGUCCCUAUCUGCCGUGGGCGCUGGAGAACUGAGGGGGGCUGCUCCUAGUACGAGAGGACCGGAGUGGACGCAUCACUGGUGUUCGGGUUGUCAUGCCAAUGGCACUGCCCGGUAGCUAAAUGCGGAAGAGAUAAGUGCUGAAAGCAUCUAAGCACGAAACUUGCCCCGA